rnacentral:rRNA from 1 species
CGUAGGUGGCAAGCGUUGUCCGGAUUUAUUGGGUUUAAAGGUGCGUAGGCGGUGAUUUAAGUCAGUGGUGAAAUACCUCAGCUUAACUGGAGAGGUGCCAUUGAUACUGGGUCACUUGAGUACUGAUGAGGUAGGCGGAAUGGACGGUGUAGCGGUGAAAUGCUUAGAUAUCGUCCAGAACACCGAUAGCGAAGGCAGCUUACUAAGGAGUAACUGACGCUGAGGCACGAAAGUGUGGGGAUCAAACAGGAUUAGAUACCCUGGUAGUCCACACUGUAAACGAUGAUCACUCGAUGUUGGCGAUACACAGCCAGCGUCUUAGCAAAAGCGAUAAGUGAUCCACCUGGGGAGUACGCCGGCAACGGUG